rnacentral:piRNA from 1 species
AAGGAGGCAGAGGCAGGAGGAU